GAUAAACGCUGGCGGCGUGCUUAACACAUGCAAGUCGAACGAAGUUUUUCCUUCGGGAGAAACUUAGUGGCGGACGGGUGAGUAACGCGUGGGUAACCUGCCCUGUACAGGGGGACAACAGCUGGAAACGGCUGCUAAUACCGCAUAAGCACUUAGCACUGCAUGGUGCAUAGGGAAAAGGAGCAAUCCGGUACAGGAUGGACCCGCGUCUGAUUAGCCAGUUGGCAGGGUAACGGCCUACCAAAGCGACGAUCAGUAGCCGAUCUGAGAGGAUGUACGGCCACAUUGGGACUGAGACACGGCCCAGACUCCUACGGGAAGCAGCAGUGGGGAAUAUUGCACAAUGGAGGAAACUCUGAUGCAGCGACGCCGCGUGAGUGAAGAAGUAUUUCGGUAUGUAAAGCUCUAUCAGUAGGGAAGAAAAUGACGGUACCUGACUAAGAAGCACCGGCUAAAUACGUG
rnacentral:rRNA from 1 species